UCUUUUUUUCCCUCCUACCCCCCUGUCCCCCCUCCCCUGCCUGGUCUCUGCACUGCAAGCCCUUCCUCGCGGCGGCUUCCUCUCUGCCUCCCUCUCUCUCUAGUCUGGCUAUCGGGGGCCUCUCGGACUCUUUGGGAUCCGUCUAGUGAUGUGUUAGGCACAGGAUGCCCAACAGCAUUGGAAAAAGGUUUAAACCCACGAAAUACAUCCCGGUCUCUACAGCCGCUGCCUUAUUAGUGGGAUCCACGACUUUGUUCUUCGUCUUCACGUGCCCCUGGUUAACAAGAGCCGUCUCUCCAGCCAUCCCUCUGUACAAUGGGCUCGUGUUUCUUUUUGUCCUUGCAAACUUCAGCAUGGCGACAUUCAUGGACCCAGGGGUUUUUCCACGAGCAGAUGAAGAUGAGGAUAAAGAUGAUGAUUUCCGAGCUCCGCUGUACAAGAACGUGGAGAUCAAAGGAAUCCAAGUACGGAUGAAAUGGUGUGCCACUUGCCACUUCUAUCGCCCUCCCCGCUGCUCCCACUGCAGUGUCUGUGACAACUGUGUGGAGGAUUUUGACCAUCACUGCCCUUGGGUUAAUAACUGCAUAGGACGGAGGAACUACCGAUAUUUUUUCCUUUUCUUGCUGUCCUUGAGUGCCCACAUGGUUGGAGUAUUCACCUUUGGACUAAUCUUCGUUUUAAACCAUGCGGAAAAACUGGGGGCAGUACACACCGCCAUUACCAUGGCUGUCAUGUGUGUGGCUGGAUUGUUCUUUAUUCCAGUCAUUGGCCUCACGGGAUUCCAUAUAGUUCUAGUGGCACGAGGACGCACAACCAAUGAACAGGUGACAGGUAAAUUCCGUGGAGGAGUGAAUCCUUUCACUCGAGGAUGCUGUGGUAACGUGGAACAUGUUCUCUGCAGCCCUCUGGCACCCAGGUACAUUGUUGAGCCAAAGAAGAAGCAGCCAGUAAGUGUGAAGCCACCUUUUCUGAGACCAGAUUUAACUGAACGGCAGAUUACAGUCAAGAUAAGUGAUAACGGCAUUCAAGCCAACCUCAACCGGAGCAAGAUGUGCAGUGCCCUCUGGACCUUGAGAGGAUAUUGUUUUGGGGUUAUUUUUCAGUCUAAAGUUAGCCUGGAAGGGCUGGAAGACAAAAGCCUGGAUAUCCAACCACCUCUACCACCCAAAGGAGAUUCCAACAAAUACAAUGAACUGGGGAACAGUGAAGAGAGCAGCCUUUCACCCAAACUGAUCAGCCCUCCCACACCAGCAAUGUACAAGUAUCGUCCGGCAUUCAGCAACAAUCCUAAAGUACACUAUCAUGGAGCAUCUGAACAGAUCUCCAUACAGGAUGGCCAUACGCAAGCAGCUGUUAUGGAGGAGAAUGACAGCAGUCUCGAUUACCAGUCAGAACCAAGCCUUGAUAUCCCCAACUAUCGGAAGAGUUCCCUUCACAAGACCUACCAGUCUUCUCCACUCCAAAUAGACUCCUUUGCCAUCAAUUCAAGGUCAUUGAGCCUAAAAUCUGCCGGCAGCCGCGGGAUAGACAAAGUACCCCUCCAUCCACUGAAGUCCGAAGGGGCUGCCUCCACACCGUAUAAGAGCAUCUUUUCCCCCAAUUCUUUGUCGAACAGGAACGGAAGCUUGUCUUACGACAGUUUGCUCAACCCCAUGUCCCCUUCGGGAAGGAGGUGCAUAGCUCAUUCCGCCGUGGGCUCCAUAGGGUACCAUUCGCCAUAUUUGUCUGCCAAAAUGUGCCACCUGCGGGGCAGAGAGCUUCAGCGCCCACCGCCACAGAGCUUCAGCCCUGUGCUGGGCAGCCCAGCCCCACACCCGCGCGACCCCUCGCCAGUCCGCUAUGACAACCUGUCGAAAACUAUCAUGGCGUCCAUUCAGGAGCGGAAAGAAAUGGAAGAGAGGGAAAAGCUCCUCCACUCUCACCCGGACUCUGUGUUUGCAGACUCGGGGGUGUAUGACACCCCUAGCUCUUACAGCCUUCAGCAAGUCAGCAUGCUGUCGGAAGACCCUCGUAGCAUAGUCCUGAGAUAUGGCUCUAGAGACAAUCUGAUGACCGCAUCCAGUUUUAGCACAAGGAAUCCUGUCCUGCAGGCCUCGGUUACUUCGCUCUCAAGUGCAAUGACCAGAACAUCAAGGACUUCCACUCCUUCCCUUCAAGCUGACUUAGCCAAUAACAAUGUCCAGGCCCAUCAGGCGUUGCAGGGCAGGGUGAGCAAUGGCUCCUACAAGUCUCCCGGUCACCAAGUCCCGUCAUCCCCCAGUGGGAUGCCCAGGUCCCCCUCAUACGGCCCGAAAGCUGUCUCGUUUGUUAAUGCUGUAGAUAUAACAGAGGCACAGCCAAUGGGAACUCCAAGGGAGGACAUCCAAUUGAAGACACCCCACAGUAAAAUUAAUGGACAGCCCAAAGGAAUUUCAAGGGUAGAGUGUCGAAUAGGGUCAACGCCAAGCCCCCAGGGCCCUCCAGUGAGCCCCGCUAGACACUCAAACGUUAAGAAAGUGUCUGGAGUGGGUGGAACAACCUAUGAAAUUUCAGUAUAAAAAGAAAUUUGUGAAGUAAAGAGCCAUCCGCAAAACCAGCCAUGAAGCUAGGUGCACUGUGAAAACUCAGAUAAUAACUCCAACAAGAAGAAAAAGAAGAGGAGCAGCUGAUGGUGUCGUUUCUGUUUCGUUUCAUGGGGUCAAGGUUCGCUUUACCUAGAGUUCCUCCAGAGCGGAGCUGAUUUGAAAAUGGAGAUGACAAAUCCUCAAGCAAGUUGUUUGCAAAAAUUCGGAAGGAUCCCCCACCCCCUGCCCACCUUUCUCAGUCAUGGACACUGCUGGAUUUUGGAACUGUAGAGAAAAGCAAUGUGUUUAAAAAAAAGAUUUAAGGAACCUGAUAUGCACAUUAUUGCCUUAAAAGUCAUUGACAAGAGUUAAGAUGUGUAUUUUUUAAAAGAAGCAUCCCUCAGAGUUUAAUUUUGAAAGUGAAAUUGGAAAAAAAGUUCAGGACUUUAAAGAGUUGAAUUAGAAUGGCAGAAUUCUUGUGGAAUUUCAUUUCAGCUCUAAUCCAGAAAGCUCGAAUUUCAGGGGAUAAGUGUCUUAUUUCAGCACUUCUAAGGCCAGAUGGAGAGACUGCUGGCGACAAUUGCUGAUUCCUUCCCAGUCCACAAAACUGGCAGCAAUUGAAAUAGCUUUGUCAGUCCGUGUAGCUUGCUUUCCACACUUACCACAAGCCAUCUCCUGGCAAAUGAGGUCCAAACAAAUAAACUCGGACCAACCAAAUUAUUGCCAUGGAACAAGCAAUCUCCACAGAACUCUUCAUCAGGCUCAGUGUUCAGAUACCACUUGAAGGAGAGUUCUGUGAAAUGUGGAAGUUGGCUCACUAGUUUGCGAUACCUUGAAAAGGUAUUGGAAGGAAGGCAGCAUGGUAUAGCCUGACCUUGUUAGAUCUUGAAAGCUAAGCUGGGUUGGUACUUGGUUGGUGGGCCACCAAGCCUCUUGCUGGGGUCACCAUAAGUGAUUUGAAAGCAUGUACAUGCAUAAUGAAAAGGUACUACACUCCUACUGUUUGAGUUUUCCUCUCUAUUGGACCUGCAAAGCUUCCUAUGGUCUUUGUUCUGGUAAACGCAGUCACUGUUCUUCCCUGGACACUUCGUGCUCCUCUGAUAGACUGCUACAAAGUCCAGUCAAAACUGUGGGAUACUUCUGUCUAUACAAACCUCUUCACAGGGCAAUCAUAAGCAAAGUUCCACCCUUCUAAGUCCCUUGAAAAUGGGGUUAGAAAGAUGUAGCUGUGUUCAGGAUUGCACUAGGGUUGCCAGUCUCCAGGUGGCAACUGGAGAGUUCCCGGAAUUACAACUGGUCUCCAGCCCACAGAUAUCAGUUCCCCUGGAGAAAAUGGCUGCUUUGGAGGGUGGACUCUAUGGCAUUAUACCCAGCGGAGGCCCCUCCCUUCCCACGCUCUCUAGGAUCCACCCCCUUCAAAUCUCCAGGAAUUUCCAAACCUGGAGCUGGUAACCCUCGAUUGCACUGUAGGUCACUUUUCUUCACAUCUCCACUUCAUUGCUCCCCACUGGCACUCUUUUAAAAAAUGUAAAUGCUUUGGUUUUCCAUCCAAUAGAUCAAGAUAGGUC